GGGGCAACUGCACCGAAUACUCCCUUCAUCACUUCUUCCUCCCAAGACUCCAGAGAUGCUCCGGGAAAGGCAUCAAUGAUUGUUCCGCAUCCGGCGCUAAUGAGCGGAAGCGCUCCAUCUGAAAGCGAGACAGAGCAUCCGCGAUGUCAUUAUUAAUGCCAGGUACGAAUUUGGCUGAAAAAUAUAUAUUUUGCUCAAGACACAGGAGGACGAAGGACCGUAACAAGUUUCCCACCCUGGUGGAGCGUGCGGACUAUCUAGAAAGAACCGCUACUACUGCCUGGUUAUCUGUGUUGAAACAAACCCUAUGAUUGUGGAACUGCUCUGCCCAAAGAUGUACUGCCACUACAAUAGGGAAAAAUUCCAAGAAUGUAAGGUCCCAAGUAAUGGGCUGGCCCUGCCAGUCUGCAGGCCACUUUUGGGCACACCACUGGCCCCUGAAAUAAACUCCAAAACCCAAGGAACCUGCCGCAUCUGACUGGACUUGGAAGUCAGUAUUGAGUGCCAUGGAAUCUUGCCACAAGGAUAUACCGUUGUACUUGUCGAGGAAUUGUAGCCAAACUCCCAUAUCCACCUUAACUUCUUUGGAGAGGCGCACCCUAUGCUGUGGUGCCCUGAGACCUGCCGACAAUCUGGCCAGGUGGCCACAAAAGGGCCGACCCAGCGCCACUACCCUACAAGCGAAAUUUAGGUGACCUAGCAGGGAUUGAAUUUGCCUUAGGGUAACCUUCUUUAGGGUAACUACAGUAUUAUCAUCUAAUUACGUCUGUUCCCAUGGCUCAAAUCCUACUUGCAAGUUUAUCAUACUAUAUUAUUUCUUCAAAUACAGUGGUACCUCGGGUUAAGUACUUAAUUCGUUCCGGCGGUCCGUUCUUAACCUGAAACUGUUCUUAACCUGAAGCACCACUUUAGCUAAUGGGGCCUCCUGCUGCUGCUGCGCCUCCAGAGCACGAUUUCUGUUCUCAUCCUGAAGCAAAGUUCUUAACUCGAGGUAAUAUUUCUGGGUUCACGGAGUCUGUAACCUGAAGCAUAUGUAACUUGAAGCGUAUGUAAUCCGAGGUACCACUGUUGUCUGAAAAAGGCAUCUAUUCAACAGUGCAUAUUUCCCAUGGAAAUUGACAAGGGAUCAUGGUGUUGUUUCCUACAAAGCUGCUUAAAAAAUUUCAGAUGAAGGCUGUUUAUUGCUCAUUUUGGUUCAGCAGUAUUUGUCCUCCACCGAUGUGAAAAGAAUAGUGUGACAAGGAGAUGAUGCGUGUUGAGGAAAACCAUCCAACAGUACAUGCUGCAGAUACCAACAGAGUCAGCAGUUUUCUCUCUCGAAAUAUAAAUGGCCCUUCCUAGGACCUCUAAUUAUCAACUGUUUAGAGGCUUAAAUAAACUGACCCAAGAGGUUUUCUAAUCACCAGUGUUCUAGUCAAAAUCUUCAGUCAUUUUUAUGACUCUAGUCAUUGCUGCCCCAUGGAAGGCUAGGGUCUUUCAAAAGCAAUCUUAUCAUUAUACUGCCAUUAUGACUGUGGUGCAAAUAUCACUCAUGAGACAAAAGCCGAGUCUUCUGCGAUGUACUUAAUCAUAAUGCUGUGGUCAUAAUCCAAGAAAUGUAAAGGACUUUUGAGUCUUAGUGAUUUGAAUGGGAGAAGUCUAAACACAUACGCAAUUCUUCCACUGAAAUACAUUAAUCUUUAAAAUGCUGAUCCGGGGAGAGAGAGACUGGAAAAAUAUAGAAUAUGUUGAAGGGUACUGGCCUGUUUAGGACUUGCCCCUACAGGAAAAUAAAUGAUCUUCAGAAGCUCAGUCUACAAAAAUACUCAAUGGAUUAACACGUAAGUGUGAUAACAUUGUUUUUGUUUCAUUAUUCCAUAUGCGCUCUCUCUGACGCAUCCUGUUUGCUCCAGCAGUAAUGCAUAGCAAUUGUGAACAUUUCAUAAUUCAUUUAUCAAAAGUCUCUUGUUUGUAUUUCAUUUGCCUUUGUUUCUUAUUAUUUUGAAAUGCAUUUUACUAUUAUUUGUGGUGCUGACAGUGGUGGCAGCAGCAGGGGAGCAGACUUCAAUAGCCCCUGCUGGCAGCCAUUCUUUCUCCAUCACCACCACUAUUCCAGGACACUGGUGUGGGUGGGUGUCUUUACCCCUGGGUGCACAUAUAACAUUGCAACUUUCAGGUUGUUUUGGGUGGGGGGAAAUGGCAACUGCCAGGGAUGGCCAUCAGAUUCAGAUUCUGCUGUCACUUUUUCAACUCCCACUACAGCCAGAGACAGAUAAAUUUCCACCAUUUGCUCCCCAUAUACAGUGGUACCUCAGGUUACAUACACUUCAGGUUACAGAGUCCGCUAACCCAGAAAUAGUACCUCGGGUUAAGAACUUUGCUUCAGGAUGAGAACAGAAAUCGUGUGGUGGCAGCAGGAGGCCCCAUUAGCUAAAGUGGUGCUUCAGGUUAAGAACAGUUUCAGGUUAAGAACGGAUCUCCAGAACGAAUUAAGUACGUAACCAGAGGUACCACUGUAGUAUGAAAUAAGACUAAAUAGAUUCAGGACUCCCAUCCACACACACAUUCAUUCCUCUCUGCACAUGUUUUGGUACAUGUGAAAUUAAACCAAAUGGUCCCCAGUUGGCUCAGUUUCUCAUCCUUUCCAAAAUGAAUGCAGCUGCCCAAUGGCCACACUGGUCCUAGGCUGCUCACUUCAUAUUCCAAAUAUUCCUUCAUCAUCCUGUACUUGAACGUCUUGUUGCCCACACACCUCUGGUUCCUCUUGUGGGCCUGCAGUAAUUUGAAGUUGUCGUGAUCCAGUAAUUCUGCAUCAAAAGUUAUCCUGAUAAUGGUGGUAGAACUCUCCCUUACACCUAACUGAAGAAACAGCUACCAAUGCAAUAUUUUUGCAAAAGCUUUCAACAAGAGCUCAUAAAGGCUGUGUUUCCUCUAUCCCUUGCUCCUAACCAAUAUUUCCUCGCCAAUAUUCUCAAAUACUGAUGACUCCUCCCCAAAACCUUUACCCUUCUUUAAGUUCGACAGCCAGCAGGAGGGAUGCCAGGAGCAACACACUGCCUAUUUAAUUGAGCAUUGAUCUCCAAGGUUGAGCCAAGAACACGUAUCUCCCUAGAUUUGUUGAUGCUCAAAAAGCCUCAAAUCAGCACUGAAGCGACCUGGGGAGGGUACUGGAAAAGAACCACAGUUCUGUGUACACCAGCAUUUGUGAAAGAUCCAGAAUGGAUUCAGAAUGGUGUCAAAUGUGUUUUGCACCAUUUACUUUAUUUUGUGUGAUGUUGAGGAUGUGUGAAGCAACCUCUGUUUCAUGCUUUCCCCCACUCCCUCACAUUGGCCUUCUUUAGCUGUAACCCAUAGCUGAGACCAAAAGUAGUGAACUCAAGAUGUUCCUGACAUCUAAUUUCCUAAUCACCCUCAUGAGCAGAAUUACAGAAUACAUACGAGACAUUUAAACACAAAAGGGCUGCCAGUGUCUUGUGUAUGCUCACAGUGCCAACAUUUACUGGUUGGGGGAACAAGGGAGUAGAAGGGUUGUGACUGCAGCCACAGAACUUUUCUCAGUCCAAAUAUAUCCCACCAUUGGUGUGGAUGGGAAAAAGAAUAACCACCUUCCCUCCAAAAUAGAGAUAUGUGGCUGGUGCUGUGGACCACUACAGUUUUGCUUUUAGAAAAACAAAACAAGAAACAGGAGCUACAGUGCUAUAAAUGGUUGCCCCAUAUAAACAACCUAGUGAAAGUUGUACUAUGUUAUGACAUAAUAUGGAGUACUAAGUGACAUUUUGUGGCUGCUGUGCCAAAGGGAGGGAUAAUAGAGAACCUGCAAACAGAAGUGUGACUUAUUUGAACUCCAAUUAGAGGAGAACUAGCCCCGCUGUACAUCGGGGAGGGCUGUGUGGAGAGAGUGUCUUCCUUUAAAUUCCUAGGAGUUUAUCUCAGUGAAGACCUGACUUGGAAAAUCAAUACAAACCAGGUGGUUAAGAAAGCCCAACAGAGACUCCAUCUCCUCAGAGUAUUGCGAAAGAAUGAUCUCCUUCUACCAGUCCACAAUAGAAAGUGUCCUUUCAUACUGCAUCACGGUGUGGUACGCUGGUUUGACAUCAACUGAUAGGAAGUGCCUACAGAGGGUGGUGAAUACAGCACAAGAUAUUAUGGGCUGUCCCAUGAGUCCGCUGGAUGACACCGCGGAAGAACGUUGCCUCAGGAGAGUGAGGAAAAUUCUCAGGGAUGAUUCACACCCUGGCCGGCACUUUCUUGAUCUCCUGCCCUCGGGCAGAAGAUAUAGAAGCAUGAUUAGUCGCACCAACAGGGUAAAGAACAGCUUCUAUCCAUGGGCUGUUAGGCUGCUGAAUGAAAAGAUAACAACAGGGCAACUGACUUUCGGGUUUGGUGGGUGUGCGUCAGCAAACGAGGGGAAUUAAGACUAAGAGAGCUGAGUGGGGGUUUAUUGUGUAAACUCACUGUAUAAAAGUUGUAAAAGUGACAAUAAAGUAUUUCAAUUUCAAUAUGUUUGGUGUGCAAGUACCCUCAAUUUAAGACCUAGCCUGUAUGCUGCAUAAUUUAUAGCAGCAAGAAUUGCACAACACAGAGGACUAUACAGGCUGCUGCCUACUAGCCUAACCAUUGUCCAUGGAAUGUGGCUGUUACCAAUCCAGUGGCAGGACCAGUAGAGUACUUGCAGCCUCCAAGGCCACCUACGGUGUGCCCCAAGAAAGGUUAUGGUGUGCCAUCUUGACUUAUACAGUGAGAUGCCACACACUGCAUCCUGCCAAACCAGUGACCCAUUGUAUGGAGAAGUGGAGAAAGCAAAGGAGCUCUGCUUGCAUCACCUCACUGGCCACUGCUGAGUUAUACUCUAUAAGCCUCUGUCUACUGCUCAAACACUGCUUGUGACAGGUACAGGAAACAAAACACAGAAACAGCCUCGUGGAAGGCCAAAAGAAGGCAACCAUGGCCAUUUAACUGAUGGAAGUAAAAAAAACCCUUCUUAGUCCAAUCAAUCAGUAGCUGACCUUGAUCCACAGUUAUGUUUCAGCUACCAUAAUAGGAGCUAGUGGGUUGGAAGGCAUGCAGAUAUACCAUGGCCUUCUAGCAGUCUUCUCUACUUAAUAAUGCAGUGAGAGACAGACUAUUGUCCAUUUCAAGAGAACUACAAUACAUUCUAAGAAUGGGAUCCAGUCUUCUCUUCCACUGUGCAGAUAGGAGAGGAACUGAUAGGGCUGAUGGCUUAGUAUAGGAGUGUUUCCAGUUCCAGAAAGGAGUGCUGUGCAGACAGGUCACAUGCAACAGCUAUAUGAAUAGAUUGCUACAGCAUGCUGUAUAUGACAUACUAUUUUAUCUCUGAGGUGGGUGAAAAAAUGUCCCACUGAACAUAUCACUGAAGUAUAGCUUGGCUCAAUAAAGUUGCAAUCCAAGAAUAAGAGGGGGAGGGAUAUGGGGUGGAGAAUAUUAAACAGUCUCUGAGGUGGAAAAAAAUAAUGAUCAACUUGGCACACUACGUGCUGUGCUUCCGCCUUAGACUGAACCAAGGUUAUAAAUAGUAAUUGGUAAUAGGGAAACUGCUACAACCUAAGAUUAUAUGGUACAGAUAGAUAUAGCUUAUAGGAAUGAUCUUUGCAUACAAAAAUUCAAAAAAAGGUUUCCUGCUCACUUCAAGGAACGGCUGCUCGUGAAUGGUGAUUAUGUAAAAUGCUAACCACUAAUAUGUUUUCAUUUUGUAAUUACACUCCAUGUGCUCUGUAAGGAACUGCCAAGUUUGUUUCACAAGUAUGCAUUUUUUCAUGAAGGAUUAUGAGCAUUUUGUGUCUGUAGAACUUCCAAAAUGGGAUCAGCUGAACCUCAGGAGCCAUUUCUUACCUCCCAAUUUCAUUCUUUAAUUAGCACACAACAGGGGUGGGGUGGAUUGUAAAUGGACUCUUUCUUUCAUUAUGUCAUCUGCAGUUUUAGGAUAUGCAAUUUGUGGGUGUGUAUGUGUGAGUGGUAUUUUUUUAAAAAAGAAAUAAAUGCAAGAAUUUGAUAUGUCAAGAUAAUAUGCUGCAAAACCAUGAGUCUGGCAAAAGUGAACUACUCUGCUUUUAUGAGGUUGAAGGGGAAUAGGAGAAAAUAACAGGCACUGGCAUUAUGAUAGCAGAGAAUUAGAUGCAAAAUGAUAGUCCUAUUAGUAGGGAAAGUUGAGGGUUGUUGUUUUUUCCCUACAUGAGAUUGAAACAUGCAGAAACAAGGAAAUAAAAAAUUAAAAAUCUUUGUUUCCUCUGGGGAAAAAAACCAGUCAGCUGUGCAUUUCUGAGCAAGGCCUAGGACAUAUCACUCAUGAGUUGGCAGUCAAAAUGUAUCUUGCAUCUGAUGACGUUUCUUAGUGGCAGAGCUUAGGGCUGAAAUGGGCACAGUAGCAGACCUGUGAUCUUUUUCUCUCUUUUUGCUUUCAUUCACGGUUACGCUACCUACAUUAAUCACACAUUCCUCCUCUUUCAUCAGUAUAAAGCACUCCAAUUCAAGGAAGUGCCUUGGAGGAACACAGCUGCCAUAUUCUGGAACAAUUUGUCACUCCAGGCGGCAGUGAUUUGAGGCAUGCCUACUAUGCCUCACACCUAGCAUAAUUUAAACGAAAAACUCCAAAAUUCACUGUUGGAGUGAUACCAUUAUUUGGGUCAAACAAAAUGUCACAAAACUGAACAAAUCAAGUUUUCAUGUUCUCCAGAAAUGUUUAUCAGUGAGAUAUGCAUGUAGAAGAACUUCUAUGAGCUCAAGGUAAUUUCCCUUUCCUCUCUUCCUGCCCCCCCCCCCCGCAACUUCUUCAGAGGGUUGUGGAAAACCCAGACCAGACGGGGGGGGGGGGCACACAGGGGCAGGAGAGGGAGAAGAUCCGACAUGCUUGCAUUACUUGUUAUGUUCAUGCAGUAGUUUAGCUGGAAACAACCCACAACCCAAAGUAUAUAAACUGACCUCAGAACUACACCAUCUAGCCUAAUAUUUGUACCUUAUCUCUCCCCCCACACCCUGUUUUGUAUAAAAUCUUGUCUAAGACAGAGUUUUCGAGUACUCAAAUGUUUGACACAAUAAUUGGUCCAAAUAAUUUGUAUGUGGGGACACAGUCUUGCCAGUAAUUCUGCAUCAGGAUGAGACUUUUAGUGGUGCUAGGUCUUUCUCUCUCUGCCUCCCCCCCCAAUCUCUGUGUGUGGUGUGUGCACGCGCCUGAAUACAGUGGUACCUCUAGUUAAGUACUUAAUUUGUUCCGGAGGUCCGUUCUUAACCUGAAACUGUUCUUAACCUGAAGCACCACUUUAGCUAAUGUGGCCUCCUGUUGCCGCUGUGCCACUGGAGCACAAAUUCUGUUCUUAUCCUGAAGCAAAGUUCUUAACCUGAAGCACUAUUUCUGGGUUAGCAGAGUAUGUAACCUGAAGCGUAUGUAACCUGAAGCAUAUGUAACCUGAAGUGUAUGUAACCUGAGGUACCACUGUAUACAGGAAGAUUCAAGCAGAUCCAAGGAGCAGGAGUAGAUACAAGCUGACCUCCCUCCAUCAAUCUGAGAUCAUACUUACCCAGUCAGAUUUUAUCUGCUUACUCAACAAUAGCUUGGUAACAGUCUGAAAUCUGGACAUUCAGGUCAAUGGAUUAAUCUCUGGCUACUCACCUCUGUUCAAAAUAUUUUGGAGGAAGCAGAAUGAGAGUAAGUGUUGAAGAGCAAAGCAGCCCAAACAGGAAAACAGCCUUGUGGAGCAUAAAAAGAAACAAAGGGGAUUACUUUGAAAAGUCUUCACUAAAUGGCCUUUGUUCAGCCUGUGCCUGGCACAAGGAUUUAUUUCACAUUCAUCCGGUAUCUUAUUCUUAUGAAGUAGUUUAAGCAGCUGCCAGUUCUCAAGAAGAGGGUGGGGAGGGAUAUAUAAUAGGAAUAGAGCCUCAGAUGCAGUUCCGAAUUGCAGAGUGUGACUGCCUUAUAUUAAUAGCUGUUAUGUUCUGUGCCACAGGACGUACCCGCAUGUGUAGGACUGAUUUAUACUCUACCUACAAGGACGAUUCACUGCAGGAGUGGAAAGCACACCUUGGCUUAAGCAGGCCAUGAAGGUGCAAUGUCAGACAAUCUCACGGAAACACGAACAAGAAUAGAAAUAUCAGUUUUUUGGAACCUAUCAAAUAAAAUGCUAC